rnacentral:rRNA from 1 species
GAUGAACGCUGGCGGCGUGCCUAAUACAUGCAAGUCGAGCGAACGGACGAGAAGCUUGCUUCUCUGAUGUUAGCGGCGGACGGGUGAGUAACACGUGGAUAACCUACCUAUAAGACUGGGAUAACUUCGGGAAACCGGAGCUAAUACCGGAUGAUAUUUUGAACCGCAUGGUUCAAAAGUGAAAGACGGUCUUGCUGUCACUUAUAGAUGGAUCCGCGCUGCAUUAGCUAGUUGGUAAGGUAACGGCUUACCAAGGCAACGAUGCAUAGCCGACCUGAGAGGGUGAUCGGCCACACUGGAACUGAGACACGGUCCAGACUCCUAUGGGAGGCAGCAGUAGGGAAUCUUCCGCAAUGGGCGAAAGCCUGACGGAGCAACGCCGCGUGAGUGAUGAAGGUCUUCGGAUCGUAAAACUCUGUUAUUAGGGAAGAACAUAUGUGUAAGUAACUGUGCACAUCUUGACGGUACCUAAUCAGAAAGCCACGGCUAACUACGCG